AUAUAUCUUCUUAUAUGUUUCUCAUUCUUAUUUAUUGGGCAUCUUUUGGACAUUUUGCUCAUUGAGAGAUGGCUGAAAUUAUAUCUAUCGUCAAAAGGCCAAGGCAGAUCUCUGUGUGGCAGUCUUUGAAGAUAUGGCUUCAGUUUGGCUAUUCCCUUUGGACUAUUUCACAAAUGGUGCUGGAGUCUUGCUCUGCUAUGUGUCAGAAGUUGGAGGAGAGGUUGGGGCAGUCCCUUAGCUGCCUGGGGAAACAAGGGCUUCUGAUCCAGCCAUGCUGGUAGCAAUGGACCUGCCCUCUUGCCGUUCCCUCUGUUGGUGUAGCCAUCCCUCCGGAAGUGUCAGUUGACUGAAGGAUGGCAUUGACUCCAUAGAAGGUGAUGGUAUCUAUUGGAGGUGACUCACUAUCAUGAAAUCUACUGUCAAAAAGUCUUUAAAUGUAUCCCCUUGAACUUGAAUACAGAAUUAAGAGAUGUAAUGCAGAGCUCUGAUCAAUUUUCCAGGGCUAAUAACUUCUUAUAAAGAUCUAUCUAUGUAGGAAAAGCACAAGGAUACUGGGGAAAUACCUGGUUGAAAACUACAUUAGUUUAACCCUUGAGGGAAUGUUAAAACUACUUUUAUUGAAAGCUGUUUUUAUAGUUAAUAUCUCCCUUUUCAAGCACAGCAAGAAUAAUGACCACAUCAACAAUGUUCAUAUUCAGCCAGUGCAGGCUGCCUGGCUGCUCCACCCUGGGAAUUCUCCUGCCUUGAUUCUCUAAGAACUUCUUUUUUUUUUUUUUUAACUUUUAUUUAAUGAAUAUAAAUUUCCAAAGUACGUCUCAUGGGUUACAAUGGCUCCCCCCCCC
rnacentral:lncRNA from 1 species